rfam:Anopheles maculatus strain maculatus3 cont1.9292, whole genome shotgun sequence.
AAAUAGGCUCUUUUCAGAGCCACCGACAGAUUCUUAAAAGAAUUA